AACGAACGCUGGCGGCAGGCCUAACACAUGCAAGUCGAGCGGCCCCUUUGGGGGCAGCGGCGGACGGGUGAGUAACGCGUGGGAACCUGGCCUUGGGUGCGGGAUAACGUCGGGAAACUGGCGCUAAUACCGCAUAAUGUCUACUGACCAAAGAUUUAUCGCCCAAGGAUGGGCCCGCGUUGGAUUAGCUAGAUGGCGGGGUAACGGCCCACCAAGGCGACGAUGACUAGGGGAUCUGAGAGGAUGACCCCCCCACACUGGUACUGAGACACGGACCAGACUCCUACGGGAGGCAGCAGUAAGGAAUAUUGGUCAAUGGAGGGAACUCUGAACCAGCCAUGCCGCGUGCAGGAAGACAGCCCUCUGGGUCGUAAAACUGCUUUUUAUUCGGGAAUAAACCGUUUCUACGUGUAGGAAGCUGAAUGUACCGAAGGAAUAAGGAUCGGCUAACUCCGUGCCAGCCGCCGCCGUAAU
rnacentral:rRNA from 1 species